AUUGAACGCUGGCGGCAUGCUUUACACAUGCAAGUCGAACGGUGACAGGCCGCAAGGUGCUGACGAGUGGCGCACGGGUGAGUAAUGCAUCGGAACGUGCCCAGUCGUGGGGGAUAACUACUCGAAAGAGUAGCUAAUACCGCAUACGAUCUAUGGAUGAAAGCGGGGGACCGUAAGGCCUCGCGCGAUUGGAGCGGCCGAUGUCAGAUUAGGUAGUUGGUGGGGUAAAGGCUCACCAAGCCAACGAUCUGUAGCUGGUCUGAGAGGACGACCAGCCACACUGGGACUGAGACACGGCCCAGACUCCUACGGGAGGCAGCAGUGGGGAAUUUUGGACAAUGGGCGCAAGCCUGAUCCAGCAAUGCCGCGUGCAGGAAGAAGGCCUUCGGGUUGUAAACUGCUUUUGUACGGAACGAAACGGCUCUGGUUAAUACCCGGGGCUAAUGACGGUACCGUAAGAAUAAGCACCGGCUAACUACGUG
rnacentral:rRNA from 1 species